rnacentral:rRNA from 1 species
UACGUAGGGCGCAAGCGUUGUCCGGAAUUAUUGGGCGUAAAGAGCUCGUAGGCGGCUUGUUACGUCGGGUGUGAAAGCCCGGGGCUUAACUCCGGGCCUGCAUUCGAUACGGGCUGGCUAGAGGGUGGUAGGGGAGAUCGGAAUUCCUGGUGUAGCGGUGAAAUGCGCAGAUAUCAGGAGGAACACCGGUGGCGAAGGCGGAUCUCUGGGCCUAUACUGACGCUGAGGAGCGAAAGCGUGGGGAGCGAACAGG